CUAAAGAAUCACGGGGAGAAAGCCAUGAAUUCUGUGUGUUGCUUUCCCCUCCUCUGGAGUUCCGCAGUUCUCCUUGAUCGGUGAGCUUGAUCCUGGCUGGAUGUUCUUGUUGAUCAUCUGCGUCUGUUGCAGUGAUUGUCACAUGUUCUUGCCCGAGGCGGAAUCCACCGCCCUUGCCAGCGGCCGGGCUAAGUGAUCUGCGCAGGUCACGCUCUGCAGCUUUUGUUCCUGAUCGCUUUCCGUACCGCUUUGGAGGACGGGAAUGAAGAUGGCGGCACCCAGUGUCCCACCGGAGGAGCGGAGACCUCCAGCCCCACUCCUCAGUGUCCUCGGAGAAAAGCCGUCAGUCCCUCCCGUCUCCCUGGUCUCCGGCCGCGCUCUGUGCUCACCGGCCUGUGACCCAGCGUCUCUGUCUGGUGCACAGCCCCGUUUGGAGCCUGCAUAGCCUGCCGUGCUCCCGUGCCGCUUGUCCCGGAGAAGGAAGCAUCGUUCACCUCAUGGAGACUUACAUAAGGUCCAAGAAACUGGAGCUCUGAGAGGAGAGGAAACUAGGACUUCAGGGUUACCAAUUAGCCCUAAGGCCAAGAAAACAAAACACUGCUGGAUCUGCGGCUUGAAGCUUAAAAUCGAGUCAGCGUGCUGCUGGACUCCUUCUGACCCAGCACCUCAGACCAGGUGAGCGGACACGCGAUUCCAGGUGCUUCCAUGAACUACGCAUGGCAUUCUCCCUGUAAACGGGGGGGAAGGACAGGCCUUACCAGUUACAGAACCCGCACACUCACCAGUUUCACUGACCCUGUGCACAUCUGUGGACCCCCGCAGCAUGAGGGAGCUGGGCCUUUUUGGUCUUUGAAAAUGGACUAAAAGCUAUAGAAUAUUUCAUGGGUUAUUUGUUCUACCAUAAAGACCUGCUUCCUCUUGGGAGAAUGACUCCCUGGCUAAGGAGAGCUGGAAGGUCUGGAUGUCUUCCUUCUCUCCAUGCCCACCAU